rnacentral:misc_RNA from 1 species
AAGAGACGUUGCCCUUCGGGGUAUACCUCCCACCCUUUGUUUAUUAUACCUUUGUUGCUUUAGGCGGGCCCGUCCUCAGGACCACCGGCUUCUGCUGGUCAGUGCCCGCUAGAGGACCUAAAACUCUGUUUGUUAAUAUUGUCUGAGUACUAUAUAAUAGUUA